rfam:Schistosoma margrebowiei strain Zambia genome assembly, scaffold: SMRZ_contig0000956
AUCCGGCUGACGAGUCCCAAAUAGGACGAAACGCGCGACUUGGAU